CCACUAGCUGUCACAUCAAUGUCAUGUCCAAUCCAACCAAGAAUGCCUCUUGCUGAUGGUCAUUUUGUCUCUUGUUGUUUCUUGUUGGAGUAUGAAAGGCAGGGAGAGGGGAAAUGAUUAGAGGCAGCAAACCCAGCUGAAGCAGCAUCCAUCCGCAGCAAAGUGACAAGCCAGGAAAAGCUUGACGGCACCCCUGACUUGCACUGCCAGGCAGCACUGCACUGAGAAACGUCCUUCUGUUCUGUGCACACCAUCUUCCCAGCUGGAACCAGCGUAGCUGCCUUCGCGUGGCGCUGCAGGCCCUGCCUCCCACCAGAGCUAAUUAUUUCUUUCAGCCCCAUGCUACGAUGGCUCCCAGAUUUCUACACCAGGAGGAGGCAGAAUUUCCAGGGAACUGAAAAAUCAGUAAUUUGCUGCACAGCUGGAAUCCUGAUCUGAAACACCCUCAGCUAGUUCGGAC
rnacentral:lncRNA from 1 species